UAACUGAAGAGUUUGAUCAUGGCUCAGAUUGAACGCUGGCGGCAGGCUUAACACAUGCAAGUCGAGCGGGGGAAGGUAGCUUGCUACCGGACCUAGCGGCGGACGGGUGAGUAAUGCUUAGGAAUCUGCCUAUUAGUGGGGGACAACAUCUCGAAAGGGAUGCUAAUACCGCAUACGUCCUACGGGAGAAAGCAGGGGAUCUUCGGACCUUGCGCUAAUAGAUGAGCCUAAGUCG
rnacentral:rRNA from 1 species